CAGCAAACAGAGCAGGGUUUGGUUUUCCCGACCAGCAGAGGGCGCUCAGCGAUGAGUUUCUGCUCAUCAAACCUCAACCUGCUGCUGCUGCUGCUGCUGCUGCUGCUGCUGCUGGUUUCUUUAUUUACCGUUUGAUGCAACAGCUGCCCGGUAUUCGUCUACUCAUCGUCCCUCUUUACACACAGCCGGCAGGCAGCCUUGAAGUCAGCUUUAGGUUGUUUUCAUGCCAUGAACUGCUUCAGAGUAAAUCCUCGAGACUCCAUAGUGACCAGGAGGGGGCAGCACAGGUAACGUUAGCUGGGAUAAACCGAGUGGAGGAACCUGGAAGCAAACCAACCAUGAAAAACUGGCAAAUAAGAAAGAAAGAAAACCUUGUCCAUCUUUGAGCCAAUAAACAGAGUUCUUUAGUGUCGUCAGAAGGUGGCGCUAACGGUUAUGUUCAUGGUAAUGAACAGAGUAGAAAAAGCCAUAAACAAAACCCACUUGUAACUCUGUGAAAACCUCAAAGAAGAAUGAAAACUUUAACCAUCCCAGAGUGAAUGAACUAGGCUGUGUAGUGCCGUCAGAAGGUGGCGCUAAAGGUCACACUAGAUGUAAUAAACAGACUAACACUAAACCAAAACAAAACCAGCUAUUUGCCCCAUGCUAAAAAAAAUGAAUCAGACAUAAAACACCGUCUUAGAGUGAAUAAACUAGGCUGUUUAGUGUUGUCAGAAGGUGGCGCCAAAGGCGACAGACACUAUAUUAAACAGAUUAGAAGAAGCUCAAAACAAUACCACCUGUUUGCUUACCAGAAAAACGUCAAAGAAGAAAAAACUGACAAAACUCUAUGCAUCUUUGAGUGAACAAAGGCUAUGUAGUGCUGUCUGAAGGUGGCGCUAAUGGCUAUAUUAGCGGUGCUAGACAAAGUAGAAGAAAACAAAAGAAAACAAAACCAACCAUUUGCCCAAUGCUAAAAAAAUAGAUAAAUCAGACAUGACACAAACGAACCUUUAAUCGUCAUAGAAUGAACAAACUAGGCUGUUGACUGCUGUCAGAAGGUGGCGCUAAAGGCUACAUUAGAUGUAAUAAACAGAGGAGAAGAAGACUUAAGAAACGAAAACAUACCACCUAUUUGCCCAAUGCUAAAACAAACAAACAAAAUUUUAACUGUCUUGGAGUGAAUAGCCUGUUUAGUGCUGUCAGAAGGUGGCGCUAAAGGCUACAGAUGCUGUAUUAAACAAAUUAGAAGAAACUCGAAAUUAUAUCCACCUGUUUGCUAACUGGAAAAAACCUCAAAGGAAAAAAACAAAACUCCAUCCAUUUUGGAGCGAACAGAGGCUAUGUACUGUUGUCUGAAGGUGGCGCUAACAGCUAUGUUAGCAAUGCUAACAGAGUAGAAGAAGAUGGAAAUUAAACCAGCUGUUUGCCAACUAUUAAGAAUCACUUG
ensembl:lncRNA